GCUCAGGAUGAACGCUAGCGGCAGGCUUAACACAUGCAAGUCGAGGGGCAUCGAGAUGUAGCAAUACAUUGUCGGCGACCGGCGGACGGGUGCGUAACGCGUGAGCAACCUUCCCGUAUCAGGGGGAUAACCGAUGGAAACGUCGCCUAAUACCCCAUAACAACACAAGUCUCCUGACGUGUGUUUGAAAGAUUCGUCAGAUACGGCUGGGCUCGCGUGACAUUAGCUAGUUGGUGAGGUAAUGGCUCACCAAGGCAACGAUGUCUAGGGGUUCUGAGAGGAAGAUCCCCCACGCUGGAACUGAGACACGGUCCAGACUCCUACGGGAGGCAGCAGUGAGGAAUAUUGGUCAAUGGGCGAAAGCCUGAACCAGCCAUGCCGCGUGAAGGAAUAAGGUCCUAUGGAUCGUAAACUUCUUUUGAGCGGGAGCAAUAAGGUCUACGUGUAGACCGAUGAGAGUACCGUUCGAAUAAGCAUCGGCUAACUCCG
rnacentral:rRNA from 1 species